UACGUAGGGUGCGAGCGUUGUCCGGAAUUAUUGGGCGUAAAGAGCUCGUAGGCGGUGUGUCACGUCGGCCGUGAAAACCUGCAGCUUAACUGUGGGCGUGCGGUUGAUACGGGCAUCACUGGAGUUCGGCAGGGGAGACUGGAAUUCCUGGUGUAGCGGUGAAAUGCGCAGAUAUCAGGAGGAACACCGGUGGCGAAGGCGGGUCUCUGGGCCGAUACUGACGCUGAGGAGCGAAAGCGUGGGGAGCAAACAGG
rnacentral:rRNA from 1 species